rnacentral:rRNA from 1 species
CAUGGAGGGUGAGAAUCCCGUUCGGUUGAUCAGGUGCGUUUUACGAUACGCUUUCAAAGAGUCAAGUUGUUUGGGAUUGCAGCUUAAAAUGGGAGGUAAAUUUCUCCUAAGGCUAAAUAACGGCGAGAGACCGAUAGCGAACAAGUACCGUGAGGGAAAGAUGAAAAGCAUUUUGAAAAGAAAGUCAAAUAGCACGUGAAAUUGUUGAAAGGGAAACGAUUAAAGUCAGUCGUACCGAUGGACAUUCAACCUCUUGAGUGCGAUUAUGUCGGGUGUUGGGGAGCUUAACCGCCUUCGCGCUUGCGUAUUUGUGCUCUACGGGUGUACUUGUUCGUAUGGUAGGUUAACAUCAAUUUCGGUCGUCAUAAAAUGACGGGAGGAACGUGGCUUUGAUCUCGCAUUGAAGUGUUAUAGCCUCUGGUAGAUGUGGUGAUUGGGACUGAGGAUUGCAACGAAUAUCCUUUGGGCUAUCCGUCUGAUCUCUGAAAGUUGCUCAGGUGCCGAAAGCGUGCUUACGGUCAUCUAAGUUGACGGUCAAUAGGUUAGAACGUGAUUACAUUCGUUAAGGAUGUUGACGUAAUGG